GCGGUCAUAGCCAAGCGGUAAGGCAUCGGCCUUCCAAGUCGACAUCGCGGGUUCGAUCCCCGCUGGCCGCU
rnacentral:tRNA from 1 species